AAGGGGAAAAGCGAAGGCCGCCCGCCUAUCGGCGAAACGCGCUGGAGGGCCUGCGAGCGGGCUUAGCCCGCCGCAGCAGGACCGAAGCGUCGCGAGCCGAUGGCGGCCGGAGCUAGACAAUUCGAAAAGCGGAGGCCGAAAUGGCCAACUGUCGAUACACAGCGCUUCCGUUUCGUUCGGUUUUGAGGGAAUGAGAAAUUCCUUCAAAAGCGCCUGUGCCUGCGUCUGCUAGCAGGUUCGGGGGAGCAAGAUUCCUCGGCACAAAGCUGCAAGGAGGAUUGCUCAAAGAAGCCGCUUUGCGUCUUCUAGCAGAUUCAAGGAAGAUGGAUUCCUCGGCGCAAAGCUGCAAGGAAGCAGACUCAAGGCAGUCGCUUCGUUCAGUUUUGAAGGAAUGAGAAAUUCCUUCAAAAGCGCCUGUGCCUGCGUCUGCUAGCAGGUUCGGGGAAGUAGCUUCGUUUGCGUCUGCGUCUACAAGCGGAUUCGGAGAAGCCGAAUUCCUCGACGCAAGACUGCAGAGAAGCAAAUUCAAGAAGCAGUCUCGUUCCUUGAAAACUAGAUAACCGGAAACGCAAAGGAAGAAGCCGAGAGCGCUGUA
rnacentral:misc_RNA from 1 species